rnacentral:rRNA from 1 species
GACGAACGCUGGCGGCGCGCCUAACACAUGCAAGUCGAGCGAUGAAAUUUUUAUGAAGCCUUCGGGUAGAUUAAAAAUGGAUUAGCGGCGGACGGGUGAGUAACACGUGAGUAACCUGCCUUUGACAUGGGGAUAGCCUCGGGAAACCGGGAUUAAUACCCAAUGACAUUACCAAAUCGCAUGAUAUGGUAAUUAAAGUGCCUAGCGGUCAAAGAUGGACUCGCGUCUGAUUAAUUAGUUGGUGAGGUAACGGCUCACCAAGAUAACGAUCAGUAGCCGGCCUGAGAGGGUGAACGGCCACAUUGGAACUGAGAAACGGUCCAAACUCCUACGGGAGGCAGCAGUGGGGAAUAUUGCACAAUGGGGGAAACCCUGAUGCAGCGACGCCGCGUGAGCGAUGAAGGUUUUCGAAUCGUAAAGCUCUGUCCUAUGGGAAGAUAAUGACGGUACCAUAGGAGGAAGCCCCGGCUAACUACGUGCCAGCAGCCGCGGUAAUACGUAGGGGGCGAGCGUUGUCCGGAAUCACUGGGCGUAAAGGGUUCGCAGGCGGAAAAGCAAGUCAGGUGUGAAAGGCGGGGGCUCAACCCCCGUAAGCAUCUGAAACUGUUUUUCUUGAGAUAUGGAGAGGUAAGUGGAAUUCCUAGUGUAGCGGUGAAAUGCGUAGAUAUUAGGAGGAAUACCGGUGGCGAAGGCGACUUACUGGACAUAUACUGACGCUGAGGAACGAAAGCGUGGGGAGCAAACAGG